CCCUUAGAUGUUCUGGGCCGCACGCGCGCUACACUGAUGCAUUCAACGAGCCUAUCCUUGACCGACAGGUCCGGGUAAUCUUUGAAUCUGCAUCGUGACGGGGAUAGAUUAUUGCAAUUAUUAAUCUUCAACGAGGAAUGCCUAGUAGGCGCAAGUCAUCAGCUUGCGUCGAUUACGUCCCUGCCCUUUGUACACACCGCCCGUCGCUCCUACCGAUUGGGUGUGCUGGUGAAAUGUUCGGAUCGGCCGUUUGUCGCGGUUUCCGCGUCAUGUGGCUGAGAAGUUCAUUAAACCCUCCCACCUAGAGGAGGGAGAAGUCGUAACA
rnacentral:rRNA from 1 species